CAUAGUCCUAAUGCCUAGCUCUAAUCCAUCAAGGUUUGCCAUGUCAUAAUUGCCUGGUUAUUUGGAUGAUGGAUGCGUCAUAUCUGAAAACAAACUAGUUAUCGUGUGAAAUUUAUUUCAACAUGCAUUAUCUAAACCACCAAAAAUGAGAACACUGCAUGGAUAAAUAUGAUGGAUUUAGAAGCACAAUGCUCAGAAUUCCCUGGAGACCCGUGAAAGCUUCUGUGUGGAGGUGCCCAUUGUCGCCGCACACUUAGGCCAGUUUAUCAAAGUAACGAGCUCAA